AUUGAACGCUGGCGGCAGGCCUAACACAUGCAAGUCGAGCGGAGCGGCGGACGGGUGAGUAAUGCCUAGGAAUCUGCCUGGUAGUGGGGGCUACGUCCGGAAACGGGCGCUAAUACAGCAUACUAUCCGAUGGGCCAAGGUCGGAUGAGCUAGGUGGUGGGGUAAAGGCCUACCACGGCGAGGAACCGUAACUGGUCUGGGAGGAUGAUCAGUCACACUGGAACGGAGACACGGUCCAGACUCCUACGGGAGGCAGCAGUGGGGAAUAUUGGACAAUGGGCGAAAGCCUGAUCCAGCCAUGCCGCGUGUGUGAAGAAGGUCUUCGGAUUGUAAAGCACUUUAAGUUGGGAGGCGUUACCAACAGAAUAAGCACCGGCUAACUUCGUGCCAGCAGCCGCGGUAAUUC
rnacentral:rRNA from 1 species